AGGAGCAACAGCCCCAGUGGCGGGGCAGCUCUGGAAACCUGGAUUCAGCCCCCGCAGGAACCACAGAGCUCUCGGUCUGCAGGGCCUGGAGGCUCCGGGCGGGG
rnacentral:pre_miRNA from 1 species